rnacentral:misc_RNA from 1 species
GUGAAUCAUCAAAUCUUUGAACGCAAAUUGCACUCUCCUCGGAGAGUAUGCCUGUUUGAGGGUCAGCCUAUAAAAAUUCGAAAACGUUGCUGUACCACGGUACAGUUCGUCGGAAAUUGGGUAAUCUUAAAUCUUUUGGGUUUAAGCGUUAUAAUAUUUUCUUUUUGUUUCCAUGCACGUGUAU